rnacentral:rRNA from 1 species
CCUACGGGCGGCUGCAGUGAGGAAUAUUGGUCAAUGGGCGUAAGCCUGAACCAGCCAAGUCGCGUGAGGGAUGAAGGUUCUAUGGAUCGUAAACCUCUUUUAUAAGGGAAUAAAACGAGGCACGUGUGCCUUUUUGCAUGUACUUUAUGAAUAAGGAUCGGCUAACUCCGUGCCAGCAGCCGCGGUAAUACGGAGGAUCAGAGCGUUAUCCGGAUUUAUUGGGUUUAAAGGGAGCGUAGAUGGGUUGUUAAGUCAGUUGUGAAAGUUUGCGGCUCAACCGUAAAAUUGCAAUUGAUACUGGCAGUCUAGAGUACAGUUGAGGUAGGCGGAAUUCGUGGUGUAGCGGUGAAAUGCUUAGAUAUCACGAAGAACCCCGAUUGCGAAGGCAGCUUACUAAACUGUGACUGACAUUGAUGCUCGAAAGUGUGGGGAUCAAACAGGAUUAGAUACCCGUGUAGUC